CAGCAGCCGCGGUAAUACGGAGGGUGCAAGCGUUAAUCGGAAUUACUGGGCGUAAAGCGCACGCAGGCGGUUUGUUAAGUCAGAUGUGAAAUCCCCGAGCUUAACUUGGGAACUGCAUUUGAAACUGGCAAGCUAGAGUCUUGUAGAGGGGGGUAGAAUUCCAGGUGUAGCGGUGAAAUGCGUAGAGAUCUGGAGGAAUACCGAUGGCGAAGGCAGCCCCCUGGGCCAAUACUGACGCUCAUGCACGAAAGCGUGGGGAGCAAACAGGAUUAGAUACCCCUGUAGUCCCUGUCUCUUAUAC
rnacentral:rRNA from 1 species